CAUCAAUAAGCAUUUUAACGGGGAUUCAAACGUACGAUGCAAUUUUAAGGGAAAUGACGAGUGAGAAAAAAGUCUGAACUCAAGGCAUUGACCAACAGGAGAGUUCGAACCCAUGAUUGCUAUCAUUAACAUCAUCUAAGUAUCCCUUUCGCUUAAUUGCUGACUCAGCCACUACAGUAAUAACACAAUAAAACAAUCGUCGACACGUCAUAUACCACAACAGAUACAUGUAUGGCUGUAGAAAGCAGGAUGCUAACAAAAAUGUCAACGAGGAUGCCUUGUUGCAAAAACUCUGACCCGUUUCUACCAGAGUUUCUCAUGGAGGACGAAAACAUUCUACCUUUGGUUCUGCAUGUACUUGACUCCGAGAAAUUCAACAGUUUACAUGCCAAUCCUAGUCAUAUAGACGACACUGACGUAGCAGACGAUAAUUCGCAAGAUGAAGAAAUGAUUCCAUCGCCCAACAUCUAUUUGUCAGAAGAUUCAGAAGAGAGUGUCAGUGAUGACGAUGUCCAGUUGGAAUAUACAAACCUAGAUGAUUUCAAUCAUUCGUUUAAAGUCUUGAUUCACAAAGAUGUGAAAGGACCCGAAGGACCGUUGUUCUCAUCUGCAUCUCAGUGCAGGUUCCAGCAACAACAGCCACAACAGCAAACCACUGCAAGACCUCAGCACCAGUACGUCCAACCAACUACACAUCAAAUACAACCAGAGGAUGGCGUUUUGGAUCCAAUCGAGUGCUUUAGCCGAUGCGACCCGAUGAACGCACCGCCGCAAUACCAGACACGUGACCAUCCAGAGUAUUCAGCAUACACGAGACAGCCUUACUCAUCCGUUGAUACCAACACUCAUACCUUGGAACAACUCAAAGUAAAUCUUGACGAAAACGAAACUUCUGAUAGUUCAAGCACGAUUUCCCCAAACUCCGAUCUGUCAAAUUUUGAACCGUUUCCACCAUCAUCUGACUGGUACCCACAUACCUUCGAAACAUAUCCUUGUUCGCCAUCGUUUCAAACUGACCUUACUUUGCAACAAGCACAACAUUCUCCAUCAAAACGAGUUGCGGUCGAUGAUCUUCCUAGGUGCUCCCGUCAGUACCAAUCGUGUGGCCCUUCAUACUGCGCCAAUUUACAACAUUCUGCGAGAGAAUCGUACUGCAGAACAUACAGUGUUGAUGGGAACAACAAUGCGCCACAAUGUUAUAUGCCAAGACAGAUAUACACUCAACGAAAACCAAAAAGAGCUGCCGGCAAGAGCAAGCGACUUUGGGAAUUCGUUCGCCAAUUAUUGCUGUGUAAGAAAUAUACCAAGUACAUCCAAUGGGAAGACAAACACAAGGGAAUAUUCAAAAUCAAACGUUCUUCUAAGGUGGCAGAACUUUGGGGAGCAUACAAGGAAAACCCUAAGAUGAAUUAUGAAAAGUUUAGCAGAGCACUGAGGCACUACUAUAAAACCAACGUGUUUAUCCGGCACGAGCAUCGUCUAACCUACCAGUUUGGGCCCAAGUCGAAGGGAUGGAGACAAGGUGAAGUUACAUCGUGUGAGCCUCCAUUGUUUCACGACAAGCAUUCCGCUAAGUGUGGUUAUGAAUAAUCUGGACCAGUGUGAGUCUAAACAUGGUUGGACCAAUGACGACAUUGUAAUCAAAUAAUGAGCUCACCUUAAGUAAAUGAACAAACCGCAAAACGCACUGCUGUGAUAGGACCAAAUUGACGGGUGAUGACAAUCUCCGAGGACUUCACUGUCUGUAGGACGAACUAUCAAUAAAUUAAUUGCUAUGUUUAUCCCAUGAUUAUUUCAAUAAUAGUGGAAACCGAUUUUUUGAUUAAAAAUGUAAUCACUUCAUGCAAAUGCGUUUAUUAACAAAAAUACUUUGCACACAGGUGGAGAUUAUCAUUUUCAAAAUUUCAAAUAUCAUGAAACUACUAAUUUCAGAUUAAUCAUGUGAUGAAUGGUAAAUUUUAUUCAAUACUACGUUUGAGCUCACAGGCAAUUUAUAGUGAUACUGCUGUUAAAUACUUAACAGUGCACACAUACACUGUACUCUGCUACAAAAUGGACGAAACCCACCAGGAUAUCUUGUAAUUUUUACGUGAAUUAAUAGCUUUUAUAUUUUUAUAAUAUGUACAUAUAUUUUUUAGUUUUGAUCAAUGAUGAAACGUGUUUCUGCACUAUCGAAUAAGGGGGGGGGGAUGUAGCAGAGUUAAUGUACUUUGUUGAUGAGAGCAUAUAUACGAGUAGUAUAUGAUUUCACAUACAUACUAUAUAAAUUGUUUAUAAAUAUUGUUACAUGUAUAUACUAAGACCAGAACCGGUGAAUACCAUUUGCUGUGGACAUUGUUAAACAAUGUGUGUUAUCAUAAUUGGACAUUUGUUAAAAUUUAAAAUAGUUUAUUCAAUACGUUCGAAACGUACGCCAAUCAACAUAAUGCCUAAAAGCGUGCUUUAUUGCAUUGGGGAGGAUUUGGGAUCCAGAAAAUGGGACAUCUAGCAAAAUGUUCCAAUUAUUUUCGUCUUGUUCUAAAAUAUGUAUUGCCAAACUUAUGAAUGCUUUCUUGCUUUACAUAUAAUUUUAUAGCUUGCUUUUUAUACGCAUAACUUUUUAUAAUUAGUUACGUGUAUUGAAAAUAAAUAUAUUUACAAACAAGA
rnacentral:misc_RNA from 1 species